UCUCUAGCUCUGUCUUCUCGGCAUUGCUACCAACCGCUGUACUGUCGGCCACAAUAAUGGGCCACAGUACCAACGAACCAAACAACUGCUAUCCCUGCGCGCCACAGAACACAUGAUGCCAGGAAGGGCUCCACAUACAUAUAUAUAUGUAGUACAGUUGCUGUUCUGUCGGUCAGAUAGUCCGUGGUCAGUGGGCUGCCGCUGUCGCUCUGGCAAUGUGUGGCAAGCUGACUACCGUCAGUCGAGGCAGAGCUGCGAAAACUGACCGGGUGCUGAAGCGCGAUCGCAGACCAUAUGUAGGCAGCUGGUGCCGAGUGCGUAUAUAUAGUUAUUGAGCUGUGAAAGUCCUUAUAAUGUCUGGCACAGCUAAAGCUACGUACCAGCCAGGACAAUAUGACCAUCACACGAUGACGUCGUACAUUAUCGUGCAUGUAACCAGAGACACUGAGCGACUCAAUAGAGAUGCAGUUCUUUGAAUCCUCCUGUUCAUUAGCACAGCUGCGGAGCUUCGACGACGAAAAUAGCCAUCGGACGACUGAAUCCAUCGCAUGGCGGCUUCACAAAUACCAAUCGUCUCCGUUAGCCACCAGCCAGCUGACAGCAGUGCACUCAGUUACCCUAGACGGCGUAGUAACCUUAUUCAAAAUCUCAUCUGGAAAAUAUGAACAUCUUUGCUCAUGAGAGGUGUUCGUACUUCGGAAUUCAAUACUCGAUCUAAAGGAGAUAGAGCAGGUUCGAAAACGAUGUACUUAUUUAAAUCAUCCGGUGAAUACUGUAGACGGGGUCGCAAGAGAAAACAGUCAAGAUCGAUGAUGGUUUUGCUAGAUUUAGAGAACAGCCAAUAAGUGGAUGCGAUAUGACGGACUCGUCUGAAACAGAAGUACGAAACCAUCUGGAUGAGUUCCAAGCCUUUGGAUUGACAUGAGGAAUGGAAUAUAAAGAAAGGACGAAAGAGCGCUAACGAUCGAGACGACUUCAUAAACAAAACACUUAACCUUGUUGCACGUUUGAAUGAUUACCGAUGUUGUGUAUGUACGUGUAUGGCAUGUUUUAGGCUAACCUUCAUUGACUGGCGUUGCCAACAAUACCAAUAACUGAUAACUGACUUUGUGUGAUAAGAAAUUACUCGGACUCAGCUGGCCCGCCUUCUGUAAGUUCAAUUUCUAUUUGGAUUUGAAAUACAUUAUGAUGUCCAGUUAAUUUUUUUGUCGAUCCUAUAUAUGCGUCGAGAAAAGAACAAGUGUUGGCGACAAGAAUCUGAAUCGCGCCUUUUAGAUUUCACGGUGACGAUGCCUGAGAGAUGACCAACCCGCAUAAACAGAAAUCAGUCAACAAGGUAUAAUGAACACAAAAGACCAGGGGGCACGUAUGUCGGGACAGAAUGGUUGUUCGGCCUUGUCGCUGUACAAGUGUUUACUCUUCUUACUAAUCCCCUGGUUGACGACCGAUUUACGCUACCGAGGAUUCGAGAACCCAGGCCGCUCGAUUUCUUCCCACUAGAACAUGUCGGUCAUAAAUGCCGGCGCUUCGUGUCCUUCGAUCGAACGGUCAAUUGAGAUGUAAGCCACGCACUACAAAAAUAUUAAUUUACCUCAUCUAGAAAAUAGCUGUAACCCUAUGGAUGUAAGAGGACUGUAAGAGAAUCAUCCUAUUCCAUUUCGCGACCGAAAAGGAUUCUACAGAUGAUUUUAUAACAAAUUUCAUCAAGUCUUUGAAUUGAAAUUUAGUAAAGAUUGAUUGUAUAGUGAUGUACUGAAAGUGUCCUUAACUUGCCACAAUAUAUGCUGCUAUCGAAUCUUAGAAGUUCAUCUCUUUGCAGUCAGUAUAAUGAGAAGUGUGCGUCAGUUCAAAUAUAAGCCCAAAUAUGAUAUGCCGAUUUGACGGCCGUUUCGCUUGAACCCUGAUAACAGACAACGACACCGUUGUAGAGCGACUAUCGGUACAUUGUUGUUGCGCAUUGGAAUUGUACAUCGCCAAACGUUGAUGCCAAAAUUUAAGUUAUUCGGCCCAGCAAAGUUUGCCUUGGAAAUUGUUUUUCAACAGAUGUUUUUAUAUUAUAUAACAGCAUUAGAACGGGUUUUGUCGUACUGCCGUACAUAUUGUGUCAACACUGCAAUGUUGAGAGCUAAAUGGCCCAUCAUGAAAUUGUGGGGCACCAUGCGUAUGUUCAUAACUUAAUCAGGCUUUGCCUACACAGCCUCCAGCUGACAUAGCUCAACUCAUUAAAUAGCGCACUUAACAACACUGCAGCCUAUUGUAGCUUCUUUUCAAAAUGGCGCUUGAUGCUAUCCAUUAUAAAUGCGUACGUUUAUAUCCCACUAACACCUAUAUGUUUCUAGGCAGCAUUCAACACGGUGGUUCCACAUGAGGUUCCGUUUCGCAUUAUAGAACAACAGUAAUCUCAUACUAUUUGAACACUAACUGUUUGAGAUAGUGCUGUUUUAACGCACUUUCAUGUAAGGGGAAAUUCACCUGCGUCAGGUUUGUUGGAUUGGUAUUUCCAUGCAAAGGUUAGGCUGGCGGAAAAGCCUUUGUGACGGACUUGUUCAGAAGACAAUUUCCGGCGAUGGCCUAAUUUUCCAGCUCUGCUGAGCAACUCUCUAGAUACUUUUCGGCAUAGCUAUCGUUUAGUAUUUUCAUGUUCGGAGUCGAUGAGGACGGCAGAUUAGGAGGACUUUGUAAGCAAAAUGUCGGAGGGCGUGCAUUCCCUGCAGAACUUCAGUGUCAAUAGAAACGAAAACAACGAGAAGCAAACGCCGUGACAACGUAGCUUACUUCAAAGUAUUUCAUAAAAGUCGAUAUCUUAUAGCGCUCUGAUGUCUACGGAAAGGUAGCAGUCUUAAGAAACACUUUCGCCUAACCCCGUAUUCGAUAAUACUGUUAAAAAUUACCGAAGCUUAAAUAAAUUCUUUUCAGCAUGAACAUAAAUGAGCAGUCAUAUUGACGUAACCUAUAGAAAACAUCAGGACUAAUCCUGUUUACGUGCAUCUUCAAUCAGCUUCUGGGAUACAAUACUGCUAGAGCAAUAAUUCAGUGUGUCUUAGCUUUUUUUCUUUGUAGAACUUUC
rnacentral:lncRNA from 1 species